UCUUCCCUUCGGGGCUGGUGCACAGGUGCUGCAUGGCUGUCGUCAGCUCGUGUCGUGAGAUGUUGCGUUAAGUCGCGCAACGAGCGCAACCCCUGUCCUUAGUUGCCAUCAUUAAGUUGGGCACUCUAAGGAGACAAACCCUCUCUGAGGGUGGGAAGGUGGGGAUGACGUCAAGUCAGGAUGGCCCUUACGGCCAGGGCUGCACACGUGCUACAAUGCACGAUACAGAGGGAAGCUACUCCGCGAGGAGAUGCAAAUCCCGAAAAUCGUGCCCAGUUCAGAUUGUAGUCUGCAACUCGACUACAUGAAGUUGGAAUCGCUAGUAAUGGCGCAUCAGCUACGGCGCCGUGAAUACGUUCCCGGGCCUUGUACACACCGCCCGUCACGUCAUGAAAGCCGGUUUCGCCCGAAGUGCGUUUGCUAACCAGCAAUGGAAGCGGCGCCCUAAGGUGAAGCUGGUGAUUGGGACGAAGUCGUAACAAGGUAACCGUAGGGGAACC
rnacentral:rRNA from 1 species